rnacentral:rRNA from 1 species
UACGUAGGGUGCGAGCGUUAAUCGGAAUUACUGGGCGUAAAGCGUGCGCAGGCGGUUCGUUAAGUUCGUUGUGAAAGCCCCGGGCUCAACCUGGGAACUGCAAUGGAAACUGGCGGGCUUGAAUGCGGCAGAGGGGGGUAGAAUUCCACGUGUAGCAGUGAAAUGCGUAGAUAUGUGGAGGAACACCGAUGGCGAAGGCAGCCCCCUGGGUCAAAACUGACGCUCAUGCACGAAAGCGUGGGGAGCAAGCAGG